GUUAUCCGGAUUUACUGGGCGUAAAGGGUGCGUAGGCGGUCUUUCAAGUCAGGAGUGAAAGGCUACGGCUCAACCGUAGUAAGCUCUUGAAACUGGGAGACUUGAGUGCAGGAGAGGAGAGUGGAAUGCCUAGUGUAGCGGUGAAAUGCGUAGAUAUUAGGAGGAACACCAGUUGCGAAGGCGGCUCUCUGGACUGUAACUGACGCUG
rnacentral:rRNA from 1 species